AUAUCACGUUGAAACACCGGUUCCCGUAUGAUCACCAAAGAUAAGCAAUGACAAGUCUGGUCAGUACCUAGAUAUGUGAACGCAUGGGGAAUACCAGGUGCUGUAAG